ACCUUAGGAUCCGUGUCUUUGAAGAACAAGGCUCACUAAAUAUGAGAUGGUGAACAUGAGAUUCCUAUUUUGGCAGUGCCAGGUCAUGACUGCUGGGGCCUGGUCAGAGAGGAGGUGGACAGGUGGGACCCACUCGGAUGGCCCUGCCCGUAGAGUCUCAGGCAUGCAGCAGGGCUGGGACCUGAUAGCAGUCCCCCAGGUUAACCCCUGGGAGCAAGUCAGCUGGAAGCCCACCUAUGGCUUGGAAAGCAAAGCCCGAGACGUUGGCACCAUAGCACCCUCUGUAUCUCCCUAUUAAGUACUAGAUAAGUGGAUGAAAAAUAGACCCAGAGAAUAUUGGUGUGGCAGAGCUUUCCAAAGCAGCUUUUCUGGCAGAAAUCCAGGUGAGGCAGGGCCCCGCAUGGAACAUGGAAUGAAGAACAUGCCUUGUUUGCUCCCUCUCACAGAUGAGGCAGGGCCCAGCAGGAGGAGAACAGGUGACAAGAGGGUGGUGGAGCAAGGCCUGGUCAAGAAGAGGACUGUCUUCCUUCCCUCCCAUUCUCCAGAAAACUAUCAAGCAUGGGGUCCUGUGGGCCUUAGCUACUCUCUUGGCUCCAGUUACAGACAAGGUCCUUUUACCUCACCCUACACUUCCCUUAUCUCUACCAAUAUAAAUAAACAUGCUGCAUUUGCCUGGGGUCUUCUUCUCCCAUCAGGAGUUAGAGCCCCAGCUGGCCCCCCACCUUUGUUUCUCUUUGUUCUUUUGUAACUUUCUUUCUUUACCUUUUCUCAAUCUCCCACCGUCAUUUCACUAGUGGACCCUUCAGCCACACAGGCCAUGGCAGGUGGACAGUCCUGUGAGUCUUGAUACACAUCUAGUUUUAUGUAGUCCACAUCACAGAACCCAGAGCAGUUCCGACACCCUGAAAUUCUCCCACAUACUUUGUAGUCAGGCCUUCAUCACACCCAGCCCCUGGCAAAUACUGAUCUCUUCUCUGCUUCUGUGAAUUUGCUUUCUCCAUGGUGUUAUGUAAACUUCAUGAUGCAUAGUGUGACCUCAUAAGACUGACACUUUCUCUGGGCAAAAUGUCUUUGAGAUUUAUCCAUGUUGCUGCUUUUUGCUGGUUUGUUUGCAUCCACCUG